CCGGCGGAACGGAGCGGUCGCGUGCCCGCGCCUGGGCAAGGGGGCGUGACCGAGGGCCGGGACAGACGCCAUUGGUCCGUGAGUGCACGGCCAGGCCAAUCCGAGCCGUUAGAGGGGCGUGCCCGGUCCCGGGCCCUGCGCGCGCCAGUGGGCGUGUCCCCUGGGCCGGUGGGAGGAGGGGCGGAAACUGGAGCGGGGCGCGCUGACGCAUGACGUCCGGGGGCGGCGGGCCGGGUAGUCGCGGCGCGGAGCGGCUGCUUGUACCCCCCGCGGCGGGGACACAGCGAGCACUUCUCUGCCGGAGCUUUUAUGUGGUGACAGCCUUGGCCCCCGGCAUGGAGGGGAGCGGUUUCUGGAGGGCGCCAUUUGUUCCUCCCGCGAUGGGCGCCGGCGGGGAGGCGUGUCUGCCCGGCCGGGCGCGGGGCUGCCUAGGGGCGGAACGCACUCGCGCCGCGCCCUCCGCCGCCGGCUUGCCGGGUGGCCGCGCCUAGAGCCUCAGGCCGCUCGCCCUCCCCACGCCCCUGCCUUGCAGAGCUCCGGGAGUCCGGGCGGGGCAGCUCCCGCGGGAGGGACAGACUCGGGCUCGUUCCUGGGGUCCGGGGUGCGGCCGCGCUGCCCUUCAGCUCGGGUCAGCCCGAGCAGGACUGGCCUCGGCUGGCGGUGAGCCUGGCAGCCCGGGUGGCGCGCCCACCGCGGCCUGUGCCUCCAGAAGCGAACUACGUGCCAGGGCGGCCGGCGCCGCUGCUGAGGGAACGCGGGGCCCCUUCCUCCCCAUCCCGCCGCAGGCCCGCUGCCAACUCUUCUAGGCUGCCCCUCUCCCACCGCGGUCGGGGGGGCUUCAAACGCCACCAGCUGCGAGGACCCCGCCCACCGCGCCCCACCCGCCCGCUGUCUGGGCCUCCCGGAGGAAAUGCUCGGCUGCGCCCAGCCCGCGCCUCCCAGCCCGGGCUGGGCCACCUUGCCCUUGACUCUCACGGUAACCCCUACCCCAGCCCGCGGCCCCAGCCAUUCUCCAGGCCUGGGCCGUCCUCGGAGACGCCGGUGAAUAACUUCCCACCGCCGCGGAACCGGGCUCAGCAAACCCCCUACUGCCUCGCCCCGUUGCAUUGUGCUUAAUGGACGUUCGAAGGAGUCAGCCACCCUUGCUGUGUUCUGAGAGGAGCCUGGAGAAUGAAGGAGCCCGGGCACUCACCCUCAGUGGACCCUCGCAGUGGGAGGGGGGUGUCAUUCUUCUCUCAGAAUUAAGGUUAAUAGCCGAGUUCGAGUUCUCACCAAAUUAAUUUGGGGUUGGAGCUCAGUAAGACUGGUUUUCAGGUAACCGACGAGGGACCGAAACGGCCAUUCUGGGUUGCGUGUUACGGUGAACAGCAAACUGCAUGGAUGUUUGAGCACCCUCAGUAUCUGUAACUAAAACCCUGAAAUGCGGUCUCGCUGAUUGAGUUGCUACCCUCUGGGGAGACUAAAGGUGCUGGACUGGGUCUGGUCCCUUUAGGAGGGUCUGUGCUUGGUAGAAAGUAAUCGUGUUUCUUCCAGGCAGAUUGUGUUGAUGACAUUUAAUAAGAGACGUGUGUCCUGACCAAGUAAUGAUUCGGAAUGUUCCUCUAUUCCCACCACAUGUCACAAUUAGUCACUUCUUAAGGAAGGAGUGGUCCUACACCAGCUUAUCAGCCACCCAUACCCUCCUGGCCCCUUUCCAGCCAGCAGAAUUCUCCCCAAUCUUCAAGGUGCCACGUCUCCCCACUGGGUCACCCCAGCCGGCAUACACAAUGGUAGGCCGUCUAGAGUCUGCACUAUUCUAGUAUUAGGCUACUACAGCCAUGAACAAAACAGGCCUGCCUUGGGUGAGGGGAUGCCCUACGUGGUCAAGGGUCCUCUGCAUUGAUGCACCCCCCUAAGAGUUUUCCAAGAAUGUGGGUCCCAAAGAAUUUUGACUGUGCUCUGUGGCAUUCUGUAUAGAAAACUGAGCUCCUUGGCUGGUUUCUCAAAAAUCCACUCAUUUGAUGAUUGUCGUGGUGUUCACUGACUUUAUCCCAAACCUACAUGGAAGGGUCUUCCGGACAGACAGCUCUUCCCCAAAGAAAAUCUCCUCUUAGCUAAGAGUCCAUGUUUUCUUUUCUAAGUAAGAUUUUGACAGAGAUGGCAUAUGUAUAUGUGAGGGCUGGGUCGUCUCGUUUCAAAUGGAAGCAACAGAAAAGCAGAGCAGGUGUGUCUGGGGCGUAUAGAGACUGAAGGCUGAAAGGGUGGUUGAGUUUCUGGGUAAAGUUGGUGGAUGGUUAGUAUGUAUUGACUUUAACUUCCUUCUGGAGCAUUUGUUAGAAGGCAGAAAUCCACAAAGACAGGGAGAACAAGAGAGGAAGUAACAGCAACGCAGUUCUUGAAGCUAAAAUACUUAGCAGAUCCAAGAAAAUGAAACCCUGAGAUAGUAGCUAGGAAGGAAAGCUAAGAACAUACUCCAUGGAAUCCCCCAGAAGGUUCACUAAUGGGUGGCACUACGUACCUCUGAAUGUGAGAGUAAACGGGGGUGAAAAUAAGAUUGGCAGAACGUCAGCUUGAGGAGCACUCAGAUGCCCAUAUCUGCACCCCAAUUUCAUGCAGCCUGACAACUGCCCCUUCCUUGUUCUGACGAAAGGCUGGAUAUUUAUGACCUGAAAAAACUAAAAGGCAGCGUCUUGGGUAGGUGGACACCAGGCACAAUUAAGGACAGAGGUACGGUAAUAGGAUCAGGGGAUUAAAUACACACAUGGAUACUGGAUGCUGAGACCCACAAACCCCUUUUUGGGAUUUCAGAAUGCAAGCAGCCAGGAGACUAGAAGGGUCUUUCCUGGGGUAGCCAACCAUGCCAAGGGGAAACACCCAGACAUUCUAACAUUUGUGGCUGCCCAAUUAAACAGCCAGCUCACCCUAUAGGGAAGGCCACAGUUAACACUGCCACUCAUGUGCACAGAAGUUCUCAUCAGCCUCUCAGUCCCUCCCAGGCCAAGGACAAGCAGGGAGCCAGAGCUGACCGGCAUCUCAGGAAACCCUGUGUCAUGAAAUACAAAGCCACAAUAGAGUUUUUAAAAAGCAAGUUGGAAGAAACAGACUAUGCAGAAAGAAAGAAACAUCAACAAAACCAUCAAUAAUGUCAUUAAAUUUUAAAAGACAUACAACCUGUGAAGGGAGAACAUAUAUAAAGAAACAUUCAGGGGAAAAAAAGUGUUCUUGAGAUGUUUACAAGGUAACAGAAAUGUAAAAGUAAAAAACCUCCUUGAAAGUAGAACCAAAAUUUUUUUUAAAAAAUGGAAAGUAGAGAAAAGCUAAAUUAGUGGACCAACCAAAAAAAUUAUUGAUCAAUGAGUAGGGACCCAAACAGGUGAUCAGAGAAAACACAAGAGAGAAAAUCGUCAAUGAAUUAUUAAUCCAAGAGAGGCCUUCACGACAUAUGCUGAAAGGGAGAGAGCCCAACACAGUGGGAAAGAAUAGCUCUACGCCAAGGCAUAUCAUUGGUGAGUUUCAGAAUGCAGGGGACAAAAGUGUCCUAACAUUAAAACAGGUCACCUACGGAUAGUCGGGUCAGAAUGACUGUGGGCCUCUCCACAACAACCAGUUGAAGUUAGAAGGAAGGGAACAAAGCCAUGGGAAAUAAAUGUAAAGGAAAAUUAUUUUCCAGCCUUCACCCAGCCAAACUAUAAACCAAGUAUUUUUCAGACGCACAGUAGACAGUAUCCAUAGCAAUCCUGAAACCCUGCUGGGCAGAUACUGCCCCCUGCCCUAAAGUGAGACUAGUCCUUGAAUAGCCUCAAAUCUGCUCACUGUGGAGUUUGAGGAUGGGGCAGUCAGGGCUUUACUCCACCCUCGGGAAGUUUUUCCUUUUGCAAUUUAUAUCUCACAGUUCUGGAGGCCGGAAAUUGUAUUCCAGCCACAGAUUGUAUUAAUCCUAGUUUUGGGCACUGCUAGUUUCUCAAAAAUGUAGUUAACAUCUUACCUAGUCUCUUUGCUUUCACUUGGUUUCAUUGUAUCUACUCACAGUACUUUUCAAGACAUGCCUGUCUCUCAACUUAAUUGCAGAUCCUCUGAGCCUCUCAGUCUUUGAUGGUAGAGUAACACCCUUAGUCUCUUUUCCCUGAACCUUUUAAGUUAUCCAAGGUGACAAUUUACUAAAUAUUAUGCCAUUCAAUACAUGGAUGGCCAUGCUUCGAGCCUUCAGAAUCCAUUUUCCCACUGCCUGCUUGAUCAGCCACAUAUCUUGUUUUCUGUUGCAGCAGUGCCCCAUUCCUGGUUACUAUUCUCUGGACCAGUCAGGAUCAGCUAAGUUAUGCUACAGUAACAAAUAGUUCCUGAAGCUCAAUGGCUUAAAAUAACAAAAGCCUAAUUCUCAGUACAUUGAGGGUUGGAUGGAGACGUUGCUGUCUGUCAUUAUCAUCCUCACCCCAGCACUCAGAUCAACAAAGCAGCCACUCUCUGACAGUCACCAUGGCAGAGGAAAAAGGGACUUUCUGUAAGGUCUUGCAUUGGCACAGAAGUGACACACAUCAUUUCUGCUCAUAACUGGUCAUAUGGACCGUCUGCUAAAGACUGCAUGUUUGUGUUUCUCCAGGAUUCGUAUGUUGAAAUCCUAAUCCCAAUAUAAUGAUAUUUGGAGGAGAGAUCUUUGAGAGGUAAUUAGGUAAUGAGAGUGGAGCCCUCAUAGUGGAAUUAGUGUCCUUAGAAAAGAGACCCCAGGCAGGGCGCAGUG
rnacentral:lncRNA from 10 species